rnacentral:rRNA from 1 species
UACGAAGGUGGCAAGCGUUGUUCGGAUUUACUGGGCGUACAGGGAGCGUAGGCGGUUGGAUAAGCCCUCCGUGAAAUCCCUCGGCUCAACCAAGGAAGUGCUUUCGAAACUGCUGAGCUUGAGUACUUAAGAGGAUCGCGGAAUUCCCGGUGUAGAGGUGAAAUUCGUAGAUAUCUGGAGGAACACCGGUGGCGAAGGCGGCAUCCUGGACCGGUAUUGACGCUGAGGCGCGAAAGCCAGGGGAGCAAACGGG